GACGAACGCUGGCGGCGUGCUUAACACAUGCAAGUCGAACGGAAAGGCCCUGCUUUUGUGGGGUGCUCGAGUGGCGAACGGGUGAGUAACACGUGAGUAACCUGCCCUUGACUUUGGGAUAACUUCAGGAAACUGGGGCUAAUACCGGAUAGGAGCUCCUGCUGCAUGGUGGGGGUUGGAAAGUUUCGGCGGUUGGGGAUGGACCCGCGGCUUAUCAGCUUGUUGGUGGGGUAGUGGCUUACCAAGGCUUUGACGGGUAGCCGGCCUGAGAGGGUGACCGGCCACAUUGGGACUGAGAUACGGCCCAGACUCCUACGGGAGGCAGCAGUGGGGAAUAUUGCACAAUGGGCGGAAGCCUGAUGCAGCAACGCCGCGUGCGGGAUGACGGCCUUCGGGUUGUAAACCGCUUUCGCCUGUGACGAAGCGUGAGUGACGGUAAUGGGUAAAGAAGCACCGGCUAACUAC
rnacentral:rRNA from 1 species